AGAAAACAAAAGUGAUUCCGCUAGUAGUGGCGAGCGAACGCGGAAUAGCCCAAACCAUUAUUGUUACGGCAAUACUGGGGUUGUAGGACUGCGAUAUUGGUUGUGUAAUGAAUUAGAAUCCUUUGGAAAGAGGAACCAUAGAGGGUGAUAGUCCCGUAUAAGUAAAGAUCAUUAACCAUAGCAGUAUCCUGAGUAGUGCGGGACACGUGUAAUCCUGUAUGAAUUUGGCGGGACCAUCCGCUAAGGCUAAAUACUCCUGAGAGACCGAUAGUGAACUAGUACCGUGAGGGAAAGGUGAAAAGAACCCUGAAUAAGGGAGUGAAAUAGAUCCUGAAACCAUACGCUUACAAGCGGUCGGAGCCCUUUAGGGUGACGGCGUGCCUUUUGCAUAAUGAGCCUACGAGUUAACGUUGCUAGCAAGGUUAAGUACUUAAGGUACGAAGCCGUAGCGAAAGCGAGUCUGAAUAGGGCGCUUUAGUUAGCAGUGUUAGACGCGAAACCGUGUGAUCUACCCAUGGGCAGGGUGAAGCUGUAGUAACAUACAGUGGAGGCCCGAACCCGUUGACGUUGAAAAGUCUUGGGAUGACCUGUGGGUAGGGGUGAAAGGCCAAUCAAACUCGGAAAUAGCUCGUACUCCCCGAAAUGCAUUUAGGUGCAGCGUUGUAAAAGUUCUAUAGAGGUAGAGCUACUGAUUGGAUGCGGGGGCUUCACCGCCUACCAAUUCCUGACAAACUCCGAAUGCUAUAAAAUGUUACUCAGCAGUGAGGGCAUGGGUGCUAAGGUCCAUGUCCGAGAGGGAAAGAACCCAGACCAUCAGCUAAGGUCCCCAAAUAUAUGUUAAGUUGAAAAAACGAGGUUUGUCUGCCCAGACAGCUAGGAUGUUGGCUUGGAAGCAGCCAUUCAUUUAAAGAGUGCGUAACAGCUCACUAGUCGAGCGAUCGAGCAUGGAUAAUAAUCGGGCAUAAGUAUAUUACCGAAGCUAUGGAUUUGCAGUUUACUGCAAGUGGUAGGGGAGCAUUGUAGCGGCGCCGAAGGUGUUUUGUAAGAAAUGCUGGAGCGGCUACAAAAGAAAAUGUAGGCAUAAGUAACGAUAAGGCGGGUGAGAAACCCGCCCACCGAAAAACCAAGGUUUCCUCAGCGAUGCUAAUCAGCUGAGGGUUAGUCGGGACCUAAGGCGUACCCGAAAGGGAAAGUCGAUGGACAACAGGUUAAUAUUCCUGUACCUGCUCACGUUAAAAGUGACGGAGUGGAGUAGUUGGUGCGUACUGACAGAAUAGUACGUUGAAGCGAGUAGCAAUACCGCGAUAGUACACAGAGACUUCGGUCAAAGUGACAAUCCAGCGAACCCACUUCCAAGAAAAGCGAGUGAAGCAGCCCGUACCCCAAACCGACACAGGUGGUUGGGAAGAGAAUUCUAAGGUGCUCGAGUGAUUCAUGGCUAAGGAACUAGGCAAAAUCGCCCCGUAACUUCGGGAGAAGGGGCGCCCAUCUUCGAGAUGGGCCGCAGUGAAUAGGUCCAGGCGACUGUUUAUCAAAAACACAGGGCUCUGCUAAAUCGAAAGAUGAUGUAUAGGGCCUGACACCUGCCCGGUGCUGGAAGGUUAAGUGGAGGAGUUAGCCUUUGGCGAAGCUCUCAAAUGAAGCCCCAGUAAACGGCGGCCGUAACUAUAACGGUCCUAAGGUAGCGAAAUUCCUUGUCGGGU
rnacentral:rRNA from 1 species